GGCGUUGACAAGACAUGGGGAGCUCUAGGCUGUGCGUGAGGCCCACCCACAUGAGCUGGGAUGUCAACACGUGUCCAGAGCAGACCUACUGUGACCGCCUGGUCCAGGACACGCCUUUCCUGAUGGGCCAUGGGCGCCUGAGUGAGCAGCAGGUGGACAGGAUCAUCCUGCAGCUGAACCGCUACUAUCCCCAGAUCCUCAACAACAAGGACGCUGAGAAGUUCCGGAACCCCAAGGUGUCCUUGCGCAUGAGGCUCUGUGACCUCCUGGGUCACCUGCAGCGGAGCACCGAGCGGGAUUGCCAGGAGUUCUACCGUGCCCUAUACAUCCACGCCCAGCCCCUGCACAGCCGCUUGCCAAGCCGGCACGCCCUGCAGAACUCAGCUUGCACAGAGCUAGAAUCAGGCACCGCGAGCCGAGAGCUCAGUGACAGGGGACCCGUGGCCUUCCUGGCCUGUCUUGGCCUGGCUGCAGGGCUGGCCCUCCUCAUCUACUGCUGCCCUCCAGACACCAAGGUGCUGCCAGGGGCCCGGCGUGUCCUGGGCUUCUCCCCAGUCAUUGUGGACAGGCACGUCAGCCGCUUCCUGCUGACCCUUCUGACAGACGACCUGGGGGGCCUCUGACAGACCAGCUGCUGCCUCCCAUCUCACACCAAAGAGCCGCCGCGUGCCCACCCACCUGGGGCCUGCGUCUUUUCCAAAUGCUUGUAUUUCACUAUUUGGGGUUUCCAGAGGCACCAGGCAGGCUGACUCCAGGAAUGAGGGGCUCCGGGAGCACAGGGAGUGGGAAACUAGAUGGGGACAGAGGAAUCAGCUCCAAGACAUGGUGGCCAGUUUGGUGCUAUUUCACUCUGUGUGCCCGUCGGAGAAGUAAGGGUGAAGGCAGGAAAGCCCUCCCACCUGCCGCCACCGAGGACGUGACUGAUCACCCGCUCUGCCAUCCGAGGACGUGACUGAUGGCCCGCUCUGCUACCCAGUCACCUGUGCAGUGGGGGCUUCCUCUGGGAACCUCUCCUUGAGCACAGCUUGGGGAAGUACUGCUCACUUAAAGCGCCAUCCCUGCAAGUGCUCCAUGCAUUUACCACUUUGCUGGCAGGCGCAGCUAAAGUAGGUUUCUGGUGGAAUGAGCAAGGUUGUUGCCCCAAGCUGGGCAGGCUGAACAGAGCCCCCAGGUGGCUGCGCCCCACAUGGAAGCCCUCUUGACCUUGUUGGGGUCCGGAGUGGGAGGCACUGUGAACCUGCCCACUCCCCUGCAGCCCUUCUCCGGGGCCUGUCCAGGGCUGGGAAGAGGCAUUGCUCCCCAGAUCCCUUGCACCCAUUGAGGCCCCAUGUAAACAAUCUCUCAUCGCUACAAAGGCUGAGCUGGAGGCUGCUUCUUGGUCGCCAGACAGAUGGGACUAGUACUAAUGCCUCCUCUAAGCUAUGAGCUUGGGGGCAGCAGAGGUUCUCAAGGUCAGCAGACCCUUGUGGCUCAGCCUGGCAUGUCCUUUCCAGUCUUCAAUCUCUCUAGCUGCCAUGAGUGGGCAAGAUCCUGAUUCCUGGGUAACUUUCUUCUGGGCGGAAGCCCUGGGGUGUUCUCCAUGUUCGUCUUGCUCUCUGAGAGACAAAGCUGGGAAAAUGCGACAGAGACGCCCAUGUAAACGUGGCAGAGACUCCUGGGUGAAGGUGACAGAGAUGCCUUGGUGAGGAUGACAGAAAUACUCAGGUGAGCAUGGCAAUGACACCUGUGUGAAGGUGACAGAGAUGCCUGGGGAAAGGUGACAGGUACCAGAUCUGCAGACUCCUUGAUCUCACGCUUGCAGCCUCCAGACUGAGAAAUCAAUGCCCUUUUUGUUGAAGCUGCUCAGACUAUGAACUCUGUUACACGAGUAGCAGCCAGGAGAGUCUAAGGCAGUGCCUGUGAGGAAAUGUGCAACAGACAGGCGGGCCUGUCACCUGACACCUGCGAGGUCAUGGCUCUGUAGGGCCCUGUGGCAGGGUGCCAUCCCAAGUGAGACAUGGUCAGUGCCUAUCCCGGGGCCUCAGGAGCCCUCUGGUGAGCCAUGAAGGUCCAGGGUGCUUGUCCCAUGGCUUGGGCUGGGCCAUUUCCCAUGACUACUUUUUUCUUCCAACCAUGACCCACCAAGACCCUGCCCUCAAGGUCCAAAGCCAGCUCCUGAGCCCAGGCUGUUCUUGAACCCUUCCUCCGAUCUCAGCCUCAAUGAUGAUGUCUGGACUCCGUGCCUGGAGCUGAGAUCUGUGACAGCCCAGCCCACUGGCCCAACCCACGGGCCAGGCCCCUCUCCAAUCUGCCUGCCCCCAUCUGGUCAGAGCACUGCAAGGCCUUUCCUCUUAGGGCAGGAUUUGGGGAGGGAAAACAAUAGGGCAUCUGUGUCUAGGUUCAGCACCUCCCCCCAGGAGUUCCCCAGUCUGUCUACCACCUGGUUAGUCAGUGCUUAUGACCUGGAGAGAAUUAAAUCCAUCAGGGCAUGAAAGGCACAACAAGCCAGAGCCUCUCCUGCUGCUCCUCCUCCCUCAAGGCCCUCUCUGUCUGCCCCCGACUCCCCACCUUCACACCCCAACAAAAAUAACUGCUUGUGAUCCAUGCCUCUGCACCUUUGAUGCUGUUCCCUUGGCUGGAAUACUCCUUACUAAUCCCCCAUCUACCCACUCUUUGGAUCUUGGGUAAAAUGCCACCUCCUCCAGGAAGUCCUCCCUAACAUUCCAGUAAGAAUACUGUCAUGCACCGCAUAAAGACAUUUUGGUCAACAAUGGACCACAUAUGUGCCAGUUGUCCAAUAAGAUUAUAAUGGAGCUGAAAAAUCCCUAUUGUCUAGUGCUAUAACUGUUGUAACAUCAUAGCCUUAUUCGUAUGUUUGUGGUGUUGCUGGUUGGUAUAAACAAAUCUGCAUUGCAAGUCAUAAAAAGUAUAGCAUAUACAAUUAUGUAUGUAACAGGGUGGACUGCUUCUCCUUCCCUCCCUGACUCCACCUUAAUUCCAGCCUGUUUCUGCAGAUAUGCUAAUUGACUGGAGGAGCUCUGCCUGGGACUUGAGUAACUUCCCUACUGGGAACAAGGAUUUGGAGAUUCCAAUCCCCCUUCCUUGGAUCCCACCUCUUGCCCCACCCCUUCUUCCUUCCCUAGAUAUAUAGGGUGCUGGAUGGUGGGGUGCUCUUAAGACAGAUUUGAGAAAAGUAGAAAGCUCCCAUCUUCUUGUUACAGCAUUGUCUCGAUAAAUAAAACCUUUUGUUAUUUCAAACUCUUAUCUAUUGAAUGUUAAAUAUUUGAUGCCCUGAGCACAUGGGCUGUGUGACAGCAACAUGUACAGUACAUAAUACAUGAAAAUAAAUGACUAUG